UCUCAAUCUGAGAUCACUGCGGUCCAGCAGCAGGCGAACCAGUUUCCAACUCUUGGGGACAUGCUACGUGCAACUAAUGAAGGAUCCACGUCACGUGGCUGGAGACCAGGGUUUGCAUCAUCACCUGCAUUGCAAGCUUUAUCAAGCAAAGAAACAAGCUCCUUCUUAGCUCAUGCUCCUAAGAAGAUAAUCAUUCCUUCUGCUCCUCAUGUUCUGGACCUCUCAUCUAGCUCGGCAACAACAACAACAACAACAACAACAACAACACCAAUAAGUUCCGGUACAUGUACUUCCGUUUUAUCUCAGCAGCUGAAGCCACAUCAUAAGAGUUCUUCUAGUUCCAAGCUAUGUCAAGUUGAAGGAUGUCAAAAGGGGGCAAGAGGCGCGUCUGGCCGUUGCAUAUCCCACGGUGGUGGACGUAGAUGCCAGAGACAUGGUUGCCACAAGGGAGCUGAAGGCCGAACUGUCUACUGUAAAGCCCACGGAGGUGGCCGAAGAUGCGAGUUUCUCGGAUGCACCAAAAGCGCUGAAGGCCGUACUGACUUCUGUAUAGCCCAUGGAGGUGGGCGAAGAUGCAGCCAUGAAGAUUGCACACGAGCUGCCAGAGGAAGGUCAGGGCUCUGUAUCAGGCACGGUGGAGGAAAGAGAUGCCAAAGAGAGAACUGCACAAAGAGCGCUGAAGGGCUUUCGGGACUCUGCAUCUCUCACGGAGGUGGUCGUCGAUGCCAGUCUAGUGGAUGCACGAAAGGAGCGCAAGGGAGCACUAUGUUCUGCAAAGCACACGGUGGUGGUAAACGGUGCACGCACCCUGGUUGCUCCAAAGGCGCGGAGGGAAGCACGCCGUUCUGUAAAGGACAUGGAGGAGGUAAAAGAUGCGCGUUUCAAGAGGGUCAUCCUUGCUCCAAGAGUGUUCAUGGAGGUACUAAUUUCUGCGUGGCUCACGGCGGUGGUAAGAGAUGUGCGGUUCCUGAAUGCACUAAGAGCGCUAGAGGAAGGACUGAUUUCUGCGUCAGGCACGGUGGAGGGAAGAGGUGCAAGUCUGAAGGAUGUGGGAAAAGCGCACAGGGUAGUACUGAUUUUUGCAAGGCGCAUGGAGGAGGGAAGCGUUGUGCUUGGGGUCAUCCUGAGACUGAGUAUGCGGGUCAAUCUUCUUCUGGUCCUUGUACCUCGUUUGCUAGAGGUAAGACUGGUCUUUGUGCACUCCAUACCAGUUUGGUUGAGGAUAACCGGGUUCACGGAGGAAUGACUGUGACUUCAGAGAGCCAAGAACCGAGAAUAAGCAGCAGCGAGGAAGAGUUUAGUGGUUCUCAAGACAUGAACAUGGAUAGGAUGAAAGCGAGAAGCGCUGUUGGAUCUCCAGAGACUGAUAUUGAUCUCAACGAGAAUGAAACAGGACCGGGGUUGGCUCCAGAAGGAAGAGUCCAUGGUGGAAGUUUGAUAAUGGCGAUGUUGGCUGCUAGAGAGGGUGGCUCUGGCUCAAGCAACCUGCCUAAAAGGUGGGUGUAAACAAAUAGGCUUCUAUGUUCAUUGAUCUCAAUCCUUCCACAUCAUUUGGUAUCGAUUCCUCCCCUCCCCCAGAAAGAGUCAAAAUAACAUCUUUUACUGUUUUGAUUCUUUCCUGUGUCCGAUUUAAUCUGUCAACAACGUGAUAAUAUUCCUAAACAAAUAAGCUAAACGCCAACAAAUCUUUCAGAAAAAGUAUAUGAAAAGAGUGUUCGACGUUAGGUUUUGAAGUUUAUAGUUCUGUUUGAAGACUUUGGAUUUAGAAUUUAGAUUUUAGAAUAUAUUUUAGUAGUUUUAUAUAGAACCUUUACUACUAUCAUAACUCUUACAAUUUUUUUUUUUUUGCCUUUGAUAAACAAACUUUCUAAAACUGCUUUUUGGAGUUGCUCAAAAAUUUAAUUCUUUAUUUAUUGAAGUGUUUUGAGUGAGAGAGAAUUCUUAACAGGAAGGUAAGCUAAAUGUUUGUUUUGUUCAAAACAGGCAAUAGCUUAUGUCGGAGGAGUUUUGUUUCUCGUGUUUGCUGCUGUGACAGUGUCUGAGAUCAUUACGUAAGUGACGAAAUUAAUAACGAUAUUUCUUUUCCUCUUAUUUGUUUGUGAAUUUAAAAUACAAUUUCAUGUUAUUUGUAAAUUUUUAUCAUUGUUUACUGUCCACUCUUUUUCUGCUAACUAUACUGUGGAUUCACAGUUUUCAUGUGUACUAUCAAGCAUCGAUGCAUUUGUUUUAGUGGUUAGAGUUGCUUAGAGGUCAACAACAUAGGUAAUAAUCUUAUUAUGUUUUUGAAAGAUACGUCCAAACAUAACACGUGUUCGGGACAGUAAAGAAUAUAAAGGAGUCGAACAUGGUAGAGCAUAUUCUUUUUAUUAUUCUUCGUGUAAAGGUAUAUUUAAAAAUUAUAAUCGUGGAUCUGAAAUAAAGUAUAUGAAAAGUUACAAAUUUACACGCUUUAUAAGUUCCACUCCCAAAUAAGUUUCUUUUCUUGUAGCUUGUAGUUUUUAUUAAAUAAAAAGAAAAGAUUAGAAGAAAAACUGUAGAAAGAGCACGUACAGAAAGAAAUAACUUUUCCCACCUAUAUUCAAAAUCACAAAUAAAAUGCAAGUUGUCUAUUUUAAAACUACAUAUUUAUAUAAAAUUAUCAAAAUUUGAUAUUUAAUAUUGAGAAAACUAAAAAGUUGCAGCUACCGGUAUCAAUAGUAAAAUAUAUCUAACAUGUUAUGUAAUCCGUACGUUUCAAAAUAAUGUAUAUUCUAAAAUUUUCACACUUAUUAAAAAAUACAUAAUUAUUUUUUUUGGUAAAAUAUUAAAUACUAUACUAAUUUUAAGUUUUUGAAAGACUUUACAGAUAAACUGGUAGCGGAAAUUAAAUACAGUGACAAAACAACAAACAAUAACAAUGGAACGAACCAAGAGCAACACAACACAAGCGGUUAAACAAAAUAAAAGCGAAACGGACUUAGACCUUACAAUGCGAGAACUAGAUGAGAAACCGAUUAGUUGCCGCGAGCUACCAAAAGAAGGGCGCUCUCAAACCAUGAUUGCUAUGGUUCCUACAGCUUCCAACCGAAACCCAAAGUGCACUCGAGCAAAGAAUCCGAACACGAGUCUAAAGCCAGCGGGGAAGGUACGAGGAGAAGCCGAGAACCGACGAUGCCGUCGUUCAGCGGUUUGUACCGGAGAUUACCGCCUCCAUUACAUUUCAUCGGGACCGUAUACACCCAUCUAAUCGCUACUAUUAAGAGAAGACGGAUCGGUAGACGGACAAUCCUCUGGAGGAGACAAAACCAACACCAUACUCUACACUCGCUGUCCAACUUACACACCAAACAACCCACUCAUAUCGAACAAGCUCAGUAGACACGAACACAACGCUGAUGAUGUUAUUUGAGAAGAGAACGUGACACAGCAUGCCCCAACCACCAUCCACCACUUAGAUUAAAUGGGCACUGAGUUUAAAUCUGGAGCUUAGCGGAUCAGAGAAACUAAAUUAUCAAUGCGCUGCUACCAGGGAAACACAGAGAGACGAACCGACGCCUCCGCCACCGUAGAAGCCCCACGCGCUGCCACCACCUGAAGACAAGACGACAACACCUAGACUCUAGCAGAGAGACACUGAGCUUACCGGAAUCCGGUGAAAUUUUGACAAUAAAUAUAUUAAUUUUCAUGUUAAUUUAUUUUUUAUAAUUUUUAACCAAUCAAAGUUUAGUAAAUACAAUUAAUAUCUUUGAAACCAAAGUUUAAUAAAUUUACAAUUAGUAAAAUAUGGUUUUUUCGACUUUUUUUUUCUAAAACAUGAGUGAUUCUAAAACGGAAGAAAUAUUUUAUUGCUGUUGAUAAAACUCUAACAUGAUUUAAUUGAAAAGAGUAAAUAACAAAAAAAUUGUUGAAUUUGAGAAUCAAAACAUCUGACCUCAAAAGAGUAAAUCCAUAUUUACAAAAAAAGGUAACAAAAUCUAAGGUGUCUGCAUGUGCAACCUGAACCACUCUUUGAUCGUACGUGGGCCUUCUUCUUUGGUUUCUUAAUACGGACAAUGUGAAUGAUAGCAAAGGGAAGAAACGAUGUCGCUUUAUAUAUUGUUCUCAGAAUAAAAAUAAAAUAAAAACCGUGAAAAUUAGGCUAUCGAUCGUAGACAUUCCCGAGGGAAUCAUAAGGGGCCCACACAAAGAGGCAAGUAGGGCCCAGACUCAUAAUCACAGAACCAAAUUGAACGGUGACGAGCCGCUGCUGCUUCAGCCGCCACGCACUGCGUUAUGCUGACGCUGGCAACCGCCGAUUGUUGAUUCGGUCAUACGCUAAUUACUUAAAUUCAUUCAUUACCAAUCUUUUUUAAUUCUUGCAAGAAGCCCCAUCUAUUAUUUAUUACAGUGUUCAACUUAAACCUUGAAAAAAUUUGUUCUCAAAAUAGUACUUCGUUUUAUUAAAAUGUGUAUGGAAUAAUUCAAAAAUAUCUUGUAUAUUUUACACAUUUUAAUAAAUUUGUUGCAAGACCAAAUAUAAAUUUGCUGGAAAAAUGUUUUCAUAUUUAAAACAUUUUACCGAGAAAAAAACAUUUUUAUUAGUUGACCUUCUAUUUAACUGCAAUUGAUACAGUAGUAAGAAAAAAAUCUUGCAUACAAAUUAAGACAUCUGAAUGUAAGAGAGGUAAUAAAAUUUGCAAAAACGCAGAGAAAAACAACUUGACUGAAAAGAAAAAAAAAGGAAAUGAGGAAAAAUGGGAUGAAAGUGGAGGACACAACCAAAUCAUGUUUUGACAGGUAAUUAAGUAUCUUUUUAGCUGUGCUUACAAACAAAUAAUUAAUUUAAUUAUUGAAGUAUUUUGCUCUGAUAAUGAAAAUAAUAAUAAUCCAACACAAAAAAUGAAGGAAGAAGACGAGAAAAGGGAAAUGGCACGUGCCAAAGAUUCGGAAGGCACGUGUGGGGGAAAACAAGUCUUGUAAGCCCUGUUUUAUUUCCUCCUCUUAUUUUGAGAUUCGAUGAUUACCACUCCUUUGCUUUGUUUCUCCUCUAUUUAUAUAUCUCCUUCAACCUCUCUCGCCGGCGCUGUAAAUCCCCAACCCGAAACAAGAAGAAGAACACGAAGAAGAAGACAAUUGGUGAAUAGUAUUCUUUUAAAGAAUUUCGUUGAAGAAUUGCGGUUUGAUUAAUCAUUUGAUGCCGUGAAAAUCUCUAAUCAGAUUCAAAAGAUUUGAAUUGAGGUAAUACUUCAUCCCCCAAAUCGUUAUUUUAAUUCGUAGGUUUGACUUUGUGUGUUCGAUUGAUUUGCAUGUUUGUUUGAUGAAAAUUGUGUUAAAAGGAUGAGUCUCUCUGAGAUCUCGGUCGAUGUAUGUUUUCGUUGGAAAUUGAGCUCUUUCGAAUUUAUUCCGUUGCUUUUUGUUGUGUUUUCUUUUUAAUUAUUAUCUCUGAAACCGAUGGAGUUAGUUCGUGUCGGUGAAAGACUUAUUUUUCUAGCGGUGCUCUCGUUUUGGUUGUUUUAUGUUAUAUCAAGAUCCCUUGUCUCAUAAACGCUGAGGUUAAUUAACGAAUUAAAAGACUUCUCUUUUGAAUCUAAUUUCUGAUGAAAUCCAUUUAUCUUUGUUAUGCUGUCACAAUCUUAUUAUUUAUGCUUGUUUUUUUUUUAUUUUCUUGAACGGUUUUGUUAACUUGGUAGCCACUUGAAUUUCUCACUGUUUUUGUUUUCCUUUUCUCUACGUUAAUUGCAAUGAAACUGACACUCACGUGAAUAUUAUCUUGUUUUUUUUUGUUAUGAAGCAGGUUCAGGAUGGUUAGCUGCUACUUUAUUACUUUGGUCAAGGUUGAGAGUUAAUUCAGAGAAAGUAUUGGAGUCAGCUGCCAGAUUUGGUUUUGGAACAUUUAAUUUGAGAAAUGGAUAGGUGUGAUACCUCAGGAUUUGUAAGCGGAGGUGGAGAUGCUUAUAAGGUCUUCUAACUCUUAGUACUACUACUGCUGCUGUGGCUUUUUCUCCUCGAACCCCCGGAAGUUUGUGCUCUUUCUCUUGAACAGUUUUCAUCUUUUUAGUUGUGACCAUGCAUGCCAGAUUCCAAAACACUGCCUUUGCUGCUAAGUCUUCACCCAAUUCUUUUAAGAUCUUGGGCCGUUCCCUUCAAGUCCAAGAAUCAGAGGCCGCCGCUGAUACUACUCUGCGUCUUGAUUCCCUUUCCUCUCCACUUUCCAACUCAAUUGGUACUAAAAGAAAAUGGAAGGAUCAAGAAGCUGAUCCUUUACUCUCCUUGAGGCUCGGUCACUCUUCAAGCUCUUCUGAUAGCAAAGGGAGUUCGGCAACUGCUUCCAUGAGUUUAUCUUCUGCCAAAGAGAUCGAGGAAGCCUCCUCCAUGGAUCUUGACCUCGACUUUACCCUCCAUCUUGGCAAAGAGAAACCUGCCUCCAACCAUAAACCAGCUAAUCUGAAAAUGAAAGAGUUGCAGGUCCCCUCCCCAGAAUUUGAUCUGGAGUUGAGUCUUUCCUGUCAAUCUGAGAUCACUGCGGUCCAGCAGCAGGCGAACCAGUUUCCAACUCUUGGGGACAUGCUUCGUGCAACUAAUGAAGGAUCCACGUCGCGUGGCUGGAGACCAGGGUUUGCAUCAUCACCUGCAUUGCAAGCUUUAUCAAGCAAAGAAACAAGCUCCUUCUUAGCUCAUGCUCCUAAGAAGAUAAUCAUUCCUUCUGCUCCUCAUGUUCUGGACCUCUCAUCUAGCUCGGCAACAACAACAACAACAACAACAACAACAACACCAAUAAGUUCCGGUACAUGUACUUCCGUUUUAUCUCAGCAGCUGAAGCCACAGCAUAAGAGUUCUUCUAGUUCCAAGCUAUGUCAAGUUGAAGGAUGUCAAAAGGGGG
rnacentral:lncRNA from 1 species